rnacentral:rRNA from 1 species
GAUCCUGGCUCAGGAUGAACGCUAGCGAUAGGCUUAACACAUGCAAGUCGAGGGGCAACAUGGUAUCAGCUUGCUGAUACCGAUGGCGACCGGCGCACGGGUGAGUAACGCGUAUGUAAUCUACCUGUAACAGAGGGAUAACCCCGGAGAAAUCCGGACUAAUACCUCAUAGCACAUAUUAUUCGCAUGAAUUUUAUGUUAAAGAGACUCGGUUACAGAUGAACAUGCGUU